CCUACGGGUGGCAGCAGUGAGGAAUAUUGGGCAAUGGCCGAAAGGCUGAACCAGCAAAGUCGCGUGAGGGAAGACGGCCCUCCGGGUUGUAAACCUCUUUUGUCGGGGCGCAAAGAGAGUCGCGUGUGACUCAUUAAGAGUACCCGAAGAAAAAGCAUCGGCUAACUCCGGUCCCGCAGCCGCGGUAAUACUGGGGAUGCGCGCGUUAUCAGGAUUUUUUGGGGUGAAAGGGUGCGCAGGCGGAGGUGCAAGUCAGCGGUCAAAUUGCGGGGCUCAACACCGUACUGCCGUUGAAACUGCAUCCCUUGAGUGCGCGAGAGGCAUGCGGAAUGCGUGGUGUAGCGGUGAAAUGCAUAGAUAUGACGCAGAACUCCGGUUGCGAAGGCAGCAUACCGGCGCGCAACUGACGCUCAUGCACGAAAGCGUGGGUAUCGAACAGGAUUAGAUACCCUGGUAGUC
rnacentral:rRNA from 1 species